AUAUUGGACAAUGGGGGCAACCCUGAUCCAGCUAUGCCGCGUGUGUGAAGAAGGUCUUCGGAUUGUAAAGCUCUUUAAGCUGGGAGUAAGGGCUUUAGGUUAAUACCCUGAUGUUUUGACGUUACCAACAGAAUAAUCACCGGCUAACUCUGUGCAAGCAGCCGCGGUAAUACAGAGUGUGCAAGCGUUAAUCGGAAUUACUGGGCGUAAAGCGCGCGUAGGUGGUUCAGUAAGAUGGGUGUGAAAUCCCCGGGCUUAACCUGGGAACUGCUUUCAUAUAUGCUGAGCUAGAGUACGGUAGAGGGUAGUGGAAUUUCCUGUGUAGCGGUGAAAUGCGUAGAUAUAGGAAGGAACACCAGUGGCGAAGGCGACUACCUGGACUGAUACUGACACUGAGGUGCGAAAGCGUGGGGAGCAAACA
rnacentral:rRNA from 1 species